CAUGAAGCAUAUUUUAGUUACAUUAUGUUCACACUCAUCAGCAUACUUCCAUAAAAUCAUAUAGAGUGCAACAUCAUAGCACCUUUGCCUAAUGGUAGCAGCAGCGAAUGCAGGCGGUGAUCCAAGAAGAAAUUCUUUGAGCGGACACUGGACAACCUUUCGUCCUGUCAGCCACCACAACAAACAAUUGCAUAGACUUGCGGAAUGGCUUGGUCCCUUCAAUGUAGAAGGCUAAUGCCCUCCUGACAUCUAGGGAAUGCAGCUGAUGCUCCUCCUCCAACUUAUGCAGCUUUGGAAAAAGACAGGUAAAUAAAUGUCCUGGCCCGCAUGAAACUACGAGACCACCUUGGGCAGGAAAGCCGGGUGUGGCCACAGCUGGACCUUGUCUUUGUAGAAGACCACAGAGGGUGGUUCCGAGGUAAACGCCCUAAUCUCAGAGACCCAGUGGGCGGAUCUAAUCACAACUAGGAACACAACCUUCCCGGACAGAAGGAGAGAGCAGGAAGUCAGAGGCUCAAAGCGGGAUCCCAUGAGCUGUGACAGCACAAGAUUCAGGUGCCAUGGCGGAACAGGGUCCCUGACGUGCAGGUAGAGGUGCUUGAGGCCCUUGAGGAACCUGGCAGUCAUGUCCUGGGUGAAAACCGACCUGCCCUCGAGCAGCAGACGGAAGGCCGAAAUAGCAGCCAAGUGGUCCUUGACAGAUGAAAGGGACAGGCCUUGGAGCUUGAGAUGUGAAGGUAGUCCAGGAUCAACUGCAGUGAGGCCCACUCAGGCUGAAUACCUUUAUCCCCAAGGUCCAACAAGCAAACUGCUUCCAUUUGGCCAGGUACGUUGCUCUAGUGGAGGGCUUUCUGCUGCCCAACAGGACCUGCUGGACAGCAGGCGAGCACUCCUGCUCCUCCGCAUUUAACCAUGCAGCAGCCAAGCUGUCAGGUGCAGUGCCACCAGGCUCUGAUGCACAAGACUGUUGUGGUUUUGGGACAGCAAAUCCGGACUGAGCAGGAGCUGUAACAGAGCAGCCAUCGAGAGGUCCAGCAGCAUGCCAAACCAGUGCUGGUGCAGCCACACCAGCACUAUGAUCACCUUCGCCCUGUCCUGCUUGAUUUUCAUGAGGACUCUGUGAAUUAGCGGCACUGGAGGGAAGGCGUACAACAGAGCCCCCAACCAUGGGAGCAGAAAAGUGUCCCCCGAAUUGAGCAGAAAAUGUGGCAUUUCCAGUUCUGCCUGGAUGCGAACAGGUCAACCUGGGUAGUUCUCCACCUCUGGAAGAUGAAGCUGACCACUUCCAGAUGCAGGGACCACUCAUGGCAAGAUGAGAAGGUCCUGCUGAGGUGAUCUGCCAAAGUGUUUCUUGCCCUGGGGAGGUGAGUGGCUAUGAGAUGGAUGCCGUGUUGUAUGUAGUAGGUCCAGAGCCUGAGGGCUUCCUGGCAAAGGGCAGAGGAUCUGGCCCUGCUUGUUGAUAGAGAACAUAGCUGCUGUAUUAUCCGUCAGAACCUGAGCAGAGCUGUGAAGGGGACUCUCUCCAACACCGAUGCAGGAUUCUGCCACCAGGUGAGUGAUGAUAGUACAUGAUCCAGGACCCUGACCACACGGUCCAUGUUGUGUUUGUUGGGGAUGCAGACCGACACCAGCCAUGCCUGCAGGGGCCUGAGGUGGAGCCAUGCAUGAUGGACAACAUAAGUGCAGGCCGCCAUGUGGCCCAACAAUUGUAGGCACAUGUGAGCUGCGGUAAGAAGGUGGGCUUGCAUGCACGAGAUGAGGUCUGCCAUGGCUUGGAACCAAGCCUCAGGGAGGAAGGCUCUGGCCUGAAUAGAGUUCAGGACCGCUCCAAUGAAUUCUAUGUGUUGUACCAGGAUUAAGGUAGACUUUUUUUCAUUUAUUAACAGCCUCAGGUCAUGACAGUGGAAUAAACCAAAUCGAGAUGCUGCUGCACCUGAUCCUGGGACCAACCCUUUAUUAGCCAGUCGUUAAGAUACAGGUGCCCAGCCGGGGAGUCCCCCAGCACCUAGACUCUGGAGGAGGUGGAGGGUGGAACGGCUUCCUGGCCUGCUGAGGAGUGUGGAGGCCCAAGGAAUGGAAGGUGGCAUGAGAAUCUUUAAGGUCAUGGAGUCUUGAAUAUGUGAGCUCAGAGAAGAGCCCCGCCCCCUCAAACGGGAGGUACUGAAUAGCGGCCUGCAUUUCCUGGGAUAACCCAGAAGACUGCAACCAGGAGCUGUGCCUCAUGGCCACCGCAAAGGUGACCACCCUGGCUGCUGAGUCAGUAGCAUCCCAGGCCAUUUGGAGGGCCCACCCUUGCCACCACCGUGCCUUCAUCCACCAAAGCGGUGAACUCCUGGGCUCGGUCCUGCGGGAGGGCCUCUUUGAACUUGUUAAGGGAGUCCCACAGUUAAAAUUGUACCUGCCUAGCAGUGCCUGGACACCCUGAAUUGCAGGCUGGCCGUUGAAUAAAUCUUUCUGCCAAAUAA